UGUAAUGUUUUGACUGAAUAAUUUGAGAAUACUCCGUUUAUGUACCACACAAGAAUGCAUACUGAAAUUUACACUGGCCAAUUCUGCAUCAAGCAUGCCCAUGACUCAUAUGAGACAGCAGGUUGCAGACAGAGACUCAAGGAUUUAGAAUCCACAAUCACUCCAUAGUACACUAUCCAUGGAUACCACAAGAUCUGCCUGGAUGCACCAUAUCACCCCUUUUGCAUCCAGACAUUUGAAAGAUGCAGCCACUCCGGAGUAAAAAAUGUUCCUCUUAUAUUUUCAUAAAU
rnacentral:lncRNA from 1 species